rnacentral:rRNA from 1 species
GGCCUCUUGCAACCCAUAAAUAAGAGGUCCAACCUGCCCAGUGACAAUAAGUUUAACGGCCGCGGUAUUUUAACCGUGCUAAGGUAGCGUAAUCACUUGUCUUUUAAAUGAAGACCCGUAUGAAAGGUGUCACGAGGGCCCCCCUGUCUCCUACUUCAAGUCUGUGAAAUUGAUCUACCCGUGCAGAAGCGGGUAUAACAACAUAAGACGAGAAGACCCUGUGGAGCUUAAGACGAGUCAACCAAUCGUGCCUAACAGCCAAUCCCCCUAACAGGAAAUAAAAAGCUAAACAAGCAUAACGACCCAUGAUUGAACUGUCUUCGGUUGGGGCGACCGUGGGGGAUAAAAAAGCCUCCAAGAGGAAACAGGGGACCAGUUCAACCGAUCCCUAAGAGCCAAGAGCCACCGCUCUGAGCAACAGAAAACUCUGACCAAUAAUGAUCCAGGCAUUCGCCUGAUCAGCGAACCAAGUUACCCCAGGGAUAACAGCGCAAUCCUUUCCCAGAGCCCAUAUCGCCGAAAGGGUUUACGACCUCGAUGUUGGAUCAGGACAUCCUGGUGGCGAAAAUUCUACCAAGGGUUCGUUUGUUCAACGAUUAAAGUCCU